CACCGCGGUUAUACGAGAGGCCCAAGUUGACUGCCGCCGGCGUAAAGAGUGGUUAAGCCAGAGGAAAUUCACUAAAGCCGAAUGCCCUUAGAGCCGUUAUACGCACCCAAAGGUAAGAAGCCCAAUUACGAAAGUAGCUUUACUCCCCUGAACCCACGAAAGCUAGGACA
rnacentral:rRNA from 1 species